rnacentral:rRNA from 1 species
CCUACGGGGGGCAGCAGUGGGGGAUAUUGCACAAUGGGGGGAACCCUGAUGCAGCGACGCCGCGUGGGUGAAGAAGCGCCUCGGCGCGUAAAGCCCUGUCAGCAGGGAAGAAAAUGAUGGUACCUGAAGAAGAAGCCCCGGCGAACUACGUGCCAGCAGCCGCGGUAAUACGUAGGGGGCAAGCGUUAUCCGGAUUUAAUGGGUGGAAAGGGGGGGCAGACGGCGAUGCAAGCCAGGAGGGAAAGCCCGGGGCCAAACCCCGGGACUGCUGUUGGAACUGCGUGGCUGGAGUGCAGGAGGGGCAGGCGGAAUUCCUGGUGUAGCGGUGAAAUGCGUAGAUAUCGGGAAGAACACCGGUGGCGAAGGCGGCCUGCUGGACUGCAACUGACGUUGAGGCCCGAAAGCGUGGGGAGCAAACAGGAUUAGAUACCCUGGUAGUC